rnacentral:lncRNA from 1 species
AUUUUUACUUGCAGGAAGAAGUUUCCCUGGAUGUUUGUGGCUCUACAAUACCGGCUUCACGCUUUUCCUCUUCUGCAAAUCCCAAUCUUUUCAUGAGGAUCUGCACUUUAAGGGACAGUUAAUGUUAUCUGCCAUGACCUUGUAGAGAACACACUGGGCCAUUAGCAAGGCCAGUGGCACCAGGGCAGCUUGCCAGAUCGGUGCUCCCACCCUCAUUUAUCCAAUGUUUGUUUUAAAAAUUUAUUUAUCCCAGUUUGGUCUCCCCUGUCCCCUGACACAGCGCUGAGAUCACAGGCCAGACACCAUCGCCUGGUUAUCUCUGCUUUCUCCACAGGUGACUGCACUAGAGAGGAAACCUUGGCCACUUGACUGAUCACAGGCCUGAUCGUUGUACUUUGUACCAUAGCUGUGUUCACUGUUUGAGCUGCCUCACACGCUCCAUUUCUAGUUCUCUCCUGCAAAUAUUUCACUUUCCCUUAUGAAAUGGCAAGCGGUGGUUCUGGUUUGAAGGGAUGUCACUACUGGCAGGCCGGUGGGCUGCCACGCUGCCUGCCUGGCAGCAUCCUGGAUGGAUGAGAACAGUUGUGCUCCCUCCGUUGCAGAGCUCACAGCUCCAAUCACACCGAGCUGCUGUUUCAGAAGCAUUUCUGGGCUUGAUCGAUAAAUGACAGAUUGCCAGAGAUAAUGUCUAUGCGCUCCCAGUGAUAAUGGAGCGUGGUGCUGUGAGAUAAUGAAUGCUUUCAGGGCUGAUAAUACACGCUGUUUGGGUGCUUGCAGCACUGUGGCUCUGCAGGAGGGACCUGUGUAGUGUCUGUCGCAGUCAGGAAGGUGCCGUUGGCCAUUUUAAGCACUUUUUCCACCAUGAGGUUACAUCAGCUGGGCUGCUAGCUGGGAGGCAAGCAGAGGUUUGCUGUGGCAGAUGACUGCAGUGGGGUGACUCCAGGUCUCUUUGGGACCUGGUUUCCCAGUUGGAAAAUGAACCUGGACUUGCUGGCUCCACUCAGGAACAUUAUAGCCCCAAGGGGAUCCAAUUCCUGGUCUGACUCACAAGCAUACUGCCCCUGGCUGCCUUCGUCUCAUGCUGUGGCCCUUCUCUCUGUCAUCCAGGCAGGC